UACGUAGGGGGCAAGCGUUAUCCGGAAUUACUGGGUGUAAAGGGAGCGUAGACGGUAAUGUAAGUCUGGAGUGAAAGGCGGGGGCCCAACCCCCGGACUGCUCUGGAAACUAUGUUACUAGAGUGCAGGAGAGGUAAGCGGAAUUCCUAGUGUAGCGGUGAAAUGCGUAGAUAUUAGGAGGAACACCAGUGGCGAAGGCGGCCUACUGGACGGUGACUGACGCUGAGGCUCGAAAGCGUGGGGAGCAAACAGG
rnacentral:rRNA from 1 species